UAACACGUGAGCAACCUGCCUUUAAGAGUGGGAUAACGGUCGGAAACGACCGCUAAUACCGCAUAAUAUACAUGAAUCGCAUGGUUUGUGUAUCAAAGAUUUAUCGCUUAAAGAUGGGCUCGCGUCUGAUUAGCUGGUUGGUGAGGUAACGGCUCACCAAGGCGACGAUCAGUAGCCGUACUGAGAGGUAGAACGGCCACAUUGGGACUGAGACACGGCCCAGACUCCUACGGGAGGCAGCAG
rnacentral:rRNA from 1 species